rnacentral:sRNA from 1 species
AAAUGCUUUUGCAGUGGUAGUGUGCUAUUUGGGGAUCUUUUACACGAUUUGGCUGACACAGCCAAAGCUAAAAAUUGCAAAUUUCUCCCACACAUAUUCAGAGGGGAAAUUGGUUCCUUGCUGCAUAUUAUGCAAACAAAACUUCCCAGUGGGAUUUGCAACCCAUUCCUCCAUUUGCUAGGCACUCUGGAGAAUGUGAAGAAUAUCUGUAAGACGCGGAUGAAGAGGCUGGACAGCUCCGCCUGCCUGCAUGCUGUGGGCAACAAGGCCGUGGAGUUCUUCUUUGCUUCUGAUGCAAGUGCUAUCAUAGAGCACACCAACCGGGUCAUCUUCCUGGAGGACGAUGACAUCGCCGCAGUGGCUGAUGGGAAACUCUCCAUUCACCGGGUCAAGCGCUCGGCUAGUGAUGACCCAUCUCGAGCCAUCCAGACCUUGCAGAUGGAGCUGCAGCAAAUCAUGAAAGGUAACUUCAGUGCAUUUAUGCAGAAGGAGAUCUUCGAACAGCCAGAAUCAGUUUUCAAUACUAUGAGAGGUCGGGUGAAUUUUGAAACCAACACAGUGCUCCUGGGUGGCUUGAAGGACCACUUGAAGGAGAUUCGACGAUGCCGACGGCUCAUCGUGAUUGGCUGUGGAACCAGCUACCAUGCUGCCGUGGCU